AACGCACAUUGCGCCCGCCAGUAUUCUGGCGGGCAUGCCUGUUCGAGCGUCAUUUCAACCCUCGGGCCCCGCAUUCGUGCGGGCUCCGGCGUUGGGGACCGGCCUCCGCUUCGGACGGCCGCCCCCGAAACCCAGUGGCGGUCCCGCCGCGGCCUUCUCUGCGUAGUAGCAUACACCUCGCACUGGAGAGCGGCGCGGCCACGCCGUAAAAGAAACGAACUUUCUGAAGGUUGACCUCGGAUCAGGUAGGAAUACCCGCUGAACUUAA
rnacentral:misc_RNA from 1 species